CCUACGGGGGGCUGCAGUGGGGAAUAUUGCACAAUGGGCGCAAGCCUGAUGCAGCCAUGCCGCGUGUGUGAAGAAGGCCUUCGGGUUGUAAAGCACUUUCAGCGGGGAGGAAGGCGUUAAGGUUAAUAACCUUGGCGAUUGACGUUACCCGCAGAAGAAGCACCGGCUAACUCCGUGCCAGCAGCCGCGAUAAUACGGAGGGUGCAAGCGUUAAUCGGAAUUACUGGGCGUAAAGCGCACGCAGGCGGUCUGUCAAGUCGGAUGUGAAAUCCCCGGGCUCAACCUGGGAACUGCAUUCGAAACUGGCAGGCUAGAGUCUUGUAGAGGGGGGUAGAAUUCCAGGUGUAGCGGUGAAAUGCGUAGAGAUCUGGAGGAAUACCGGUGGCGAAGGCGGCCCCCUGGACAAAGACUGACGCUCAGGUGCGAAAGCGUGGGGAGCAAACAGGAUUAGAUACCCCUGUAGUC
rnacentral:rRNA from 1 species